rnacentral:rRNA from 1 species
UACGAAGGGGGGCUAGCGUUGCUCGGAAUCACUGGGCGUAAAGCGCACGUAGGCGGACUCUUAAGUCGGUGGUGAAAUCCUGGAGCUCAACUCCAGAACUGCCUUCGAUACUGAGAGUCUUGAGUCCGAGAGAGGUGAGUGGAACUGCGAGUGUAGAGGUGAAAUUCGUAGAUAUUCGCAAGAACACCGAUGGCGAAGGCACUUUACUGGGCUAUUACUAACACUCAGAGACGAAAGCUAGGGUAGCAAAUGGG